rnacentral:lncRNA from 1 species
AUAAAAAAAACUCGCAAGAUCUUAGAUAAGGAUAAUCUCCGUAAUAUCAAUCAUUGGAAGAUAGACUGAAAGAGCGCUCUAAGUCAAAGCAUUUGAAGUGUUGGAAUCAGCAGGCAUCGUAUUGUUGGAAUUCCGCGUUCGGAUUCACAACUAACAGAUGAUAACUGGUUGCCAGGCGGGUUCUGUGUGGGCGAAGAAUAGGCACACCGCACACGCUAGCUCAUGGCGAAGAGCAAGGAGGCUGGAGAAGCUGCUUUGACUAAUGUUCAGCAGAAUACCUUAGCAACACUUCGAUUCUAAUUCAUGCUGUCUCCAGGGCGAUAGGAGUUUAUCUCUAUUUCUACAACGACGAGCGUAAAAUAUGUAAGGAGACCCGAAACCAGAGUCCACAAAAGGACGACAAGCUAAACACGAUACACUCUAUCUCCUGUAUACAUGUAUCAAUCAAGGGUCGAGAAGCAGAAUGAAGAGGGAC